AGAGUGAACGCUGGCGGUAGGCCUAACACAUGCAAGUCGAACGGCAGCACAGUAGGAGCUUGCUCUUACGGGUGGCGAGUGGCGGACGGGUGAGGAAUACAUCGGAAUCUACCUUUUGGUGGGGGAUAACGUAGGGAAACUUACGCUAAUACCGCAUACGCCCUUCGGGGGAAAGCCGGGACCAGCAAUGGCCUGGCGCUGAUAGAUGAGCCGAUGUCGGAUUAGCCAGUUGGUGAGGUAAUGGCUCACCAAGGCGACGAUCCGUAGCUGGUCUGAGAGGAUGAUCAGCCACACUGGAACUGAGACACGGUCCAGACUCCUAGGGAGCAGCAGUGGGAAUAUUGGACAAUGGGCGCAAGCCUGAUCCAGCCAAUACCGCGUGGUGAAGAAGGCCUUGGUAGUAAAGUCCUUUUGUAGGAAAGAAA
rnacentral:rRNA from 1 species